rnacentral:tRNA from 1 species
GGCGCAGUGGCAGAGUGGUCUAAUGCGAUAGACUAGAAAUCUAUUCUCUUCGGAGGCGUCUGUUAGAACCAGGCCUGCAUCG